rnacentral:lncRNA from 1 species
GCAAAAAUGUGUAUAGAUAAAAAGCUUAGACAUGUACAGUUAUAUAUUAUAUACAUAUGUAUAUACGUAUAUGCUGUUUACUUAUAACGAAAAUACAUAUAAAUUAUGUUAUUUGUACUAAACACUGCUGGAGAUACACACAUGGUAUUGAAUACAGGGUUGGCAAACAAAAGCAGUAUUCAUUAACGUCAACGAAAACUGUAUUAGUAAAAAUAGGACUCACAUACAUGCCAUUAAAUAGCACUUUGGCUUAAUUACACACGAUAUUUACAUAUACGACAUUCACACCCUGUAUUUAACAACUGAUCAAAUCUGACUCGGACUGUCCAUUUCAAAUGCGCGCACAAACCGUAUCGUUAAAAUUGCAAUAAAUAUUCAAGAGUCCGAGUCAAAUUUGAUCAGAUCCAUAGAACAUUUACAGAAAUAUUACAUACGAACUACUUGUUAUGAAUUUUUAUGUGGUUAUAGAUAACUUAUAAAAUUCUUAGAAAUAUAAGUCGUCGGUGAAGGAUUUGUUUCAUGUUAACUUUUUUUCUAAAAGAUUGUAGACGGCGGUCUGACAAGUAUUUAAUUUCCUCGCUCAAACACAAAUUAAGUUUGUUUUGAAAAAAAAAAAGAAAAUAGUAAAAUAAAAAAUAAUUAAAAGCUCUAUACGCUGACUCUUCACUUUUGAUGGCGAUCGUUACGAUUUGGACGGUAAGUGCCGAUUUGACAGCGAAUUACACAAAAAACCACAACGAAUUGGUGGAAUCACUUACUGGUCGCUACGUCGGAUUCUUUACAUUUGGACCUGUCCGUCUUUUUUGAUACCAAACUUGAAAGAAUAACUUUCGGGGCAUAACCAGGGUUGAGUUGACUAAAAGUGUCGUCACGAAGAAAAUGUAUUUAACAGAAAAUAUAUUUAGCAAAGCUAAGUACUUAUCGGACCCCCCUCGUAUGUAUACUUAAAUCAAAAGCUAUUAAUUAUUUUUAAUAAUCAAACAGUAUUACAAAAUUCAUUAAACAA